UACGGAGGGGGCUAGCGUUGUUCGGAAUUACUGGGCGUAAAGCGCACGUAGGCGGCUUUGCAAGUCAGAGGUGAAAGCCCGGGGGCUCAACCCCCGGAAUUGCCUUUGAGACUGCAUCGCUAGAAUUGUGGAGAGGUAAGUGGAAUUCCGAGUGUAGAGGUGAAAUUCGUAGAUAUUCGGAAGAACACCAGUGGCGAAGGCGACUUACUGGACACAUAUUGACGCUGAGGUGCGAAAGCGUGGGGAGCAAACAGG
rnacentral:rRNA from 1 species